AGAUACAGGACUGGUUUUAAUUGAAGUCACCUUACCCAAGCUGGCACUGUGAGAGUCCGAGGGAAAUCACACAGCCUUGUCCAGGAGAUACCUGAGGUGAAGAUGGUUUAAAAAAUCUAAGUGACAUCUGAGGACUGGCAGUUUUCCCACAGCUGGGAUUUUGCUGGUGCUUAAAACUGCAUCUGCUAAAAAACAAAAGCAAAAUGGAAGCGGUUCAGCUGAAGUGGAUCAAGUACUUUUCUUCCUGAGUGUAAACAGUUUUCUCACCUUCGAAGAGGCUCGGCUGCAGCCGUUACUGCCUGGUAGUUUUCGGUUUUGCAGCUCUUCAGGUCUUGCUGCAAAACGCUGUGGGAUGCCUCUGAACCGAGAAGUUGAAUUUCAAGUGGAUUCUUCUCCAUCCUCUUGCCUGCACUCUGCGCUGCUGUGCCUUCUGUCUGCAAGGAAAAGGAGCCUCACUGGGAGGAAAACACUGAUAGUUACUGCAGCCUUUGUCUGAAAAAGGCAGGUGUCCUCUAGCCACACCAGACUGUCCACAAAAAUCAGAUAGACCUUUGUCCUGGAUAAGUUUUGGUCCGUCACAGAAAAUUAAUUCCAGUUACGCUGGCCUUAACGGGAGCAUUUGAUCCAGGAGAAGUAGCUGGGGGAGGACGUGCCUGCAGCUGCUGCGAUGAGCCUGGAAGAUGCUGCGGGACAGGACGCGCUGCGACGUGGCUCCCCCAGGAGAGCAGCCCACGGCCCCCAGGGGCGAGCACUCCACGGCCAGGCCCCUUCUCGCCGCAACCUGGCUGUGUCUGACUUCUCUCGCUCUUGCUUUGCUGCUGUGAAACAGGAAGAGCAAGAUAACCUCAACAAUUUUAUAACCUGGGUACUCGUUCCUACUUCUCCUUUGCUCCUGGCAAUGUACCAAUUAUUAAUUAACAGGCAAAUGCUAGAGAAAAGGCCAAUGUACAUAGCUCAUUUCCAUAGCUGUAAAUGUGGUAGCCCCCCAGUCAGCUUUUAUUCCGGUGAACCCAAUUGCUAUGACAGCAAUGAAUAAAUACCCUGGAAAAAAUAGAAACGAUUUUCAACUUGAUAAAAAAUGAGACUUGAAUCCUUUUAAAAGACUCUCUUUUCUGGCUGUCGUGCAUAUCACGCUACCUAUGGAAAAACUCAGGCAGCAAGAAUUCCUGUCACCAAGUGACACGACACCAAUGCCCCGAACGCACAACUUCCCUGUAACCGGCCCCUGCGAAAUGUUUGAUGCUCUGCAACUCCCUGGCAAGGGCUGUACACUGGGUCUAAUAAUUUGCAUCAUGAUGCUGAGCGAAGGUGCUAUUUUUGAAUAUGUAGGCAAAAAAGUUAUUCCAGAUUCAGACCAAAUUAAAGUGUGUAUGUGCCGCUGACAACAGCUGCAAUCAAAAGCAUUUGCUCUCUUUCUCAGGAGAAGAAAAAAAGCAACAAUUUACUAUUGUGCCCGUAACAAAGCUCAGCUCUACAGACCUGAAACAUGAAAAUCAUGCUUCCUUUCUAAUGAAGCAAACCGCAGAACAACUUUAACAUCAAAUUUUUCAGGGCUUCCUUAGUUUCACCCAAGCACGACCAGCCAUCCAGCAGAGGUUGUACAUCUGUGUUUAGAUGCUGUCCCUCAUGUCCUGCUUCAUCCUACCGUGUACGCUGGAGGUGGCCCAGGGACCGUACUCCCUGACAGUCACACUGGCAGAUGUAAUUAGCGUCUGCUCCAUCGUCAGUGCUUUAAAAAGUGUAUUUUUAUGAGGUUACUCCUUACUCUGGCAUCCCACUACCUGUCUCAACAGCUGGAUACCAAAUCCUCUUUCCCAGCAGGCCCUGUCAAAGCAACAAUAUCAACAACAGCGAAAGCUUGGGAACAGCAUGUCUGGGUGCUGUUAGGAACCAGUUCCCAUUAAUUAAUGUGCAAGGUUGUAUCAGGUCAUGACACGGGAUGGCGGGGCAUCAGGUGGAUUCGCAUCCUCGCUUGACAGCAUUGUUUUUUCCUGUCUCGGUGGCUGUAAGCAACA